UUUGCUGUCAGUUUCAUGAAGAUCACAACAAUGGAGAUUGAGGAGGACAAGAGCUCCCCCUGUCUGGGUGCUGGGUGCCUCUGGUGUGGACAAGAACAAGAACAGCUCCUCUGAACAGGAUUGCCUGGCACAGGAUGGGAAUGUACUACAAACUCACUAAAAUCAAUCAAAGCCCAACAUUAUGGACAAGCGAUGUCACCAACUGAGACACAUGACAAACAAGACCUUUCUCUCUACCAUAUGAGGACACAGCCGUCUGCAAACCAGGAAGAGAGCUGUCACCAGUUACCAAAUCAGCCAGCACCUUUAUCUUGGACUUCCCAGCCUCCAGAACCAUGAGAAAUGAACAUCUGUUGCCCCAGUUGUCCAGUCUAUGGUGUUCUGUUAGAGCGGCCUGGACUGACAGUGGGCAAAUCAUUUCACCUCUCUGAGCAUCAGCUUCGUCUUCUGAAAAAUGUGGAUGGUAUUAUCAUUUGUCCCCUUCCUUUUUUCCUUCCUCCCUCCCUUCCUUCCAUAGAUAUCAGGAGUAUAGAGUAAAAAAAAGGCAUGUACAAAAGAUCCUGAGAUGUCCGAAGUCUGAAGCCCUAAAGAAAUAUAACUUUAAUAAUGUCAUGUGGAACCAGCUAACCCAGUGCCUCUACCAUCACCAUGGUUACCACAAGGAUGCUACCCUCUUGAGAGGAUGACAAACUGCCCCAGGCAACAGAAACUCAUAUACAGGACAGUGCCCUUAGCACUGCAGAAAGACUGGACUUUGGUGUUAAUAAUGCAUGUCAAUAAUCCUAUCCUAAUUACCAAUUAAUAGUCAUAAUAAGUCAACAAGCAUGAAUAAUAAGUAAAUCAAAAGU